UUAAGCAUAUCAAUAAGCGGAGGAAAAGAAACCAACAGGGAUUGCCCCAGUAACGGCGAGUGAAGCGGCAACAGCUCAAAUUUGAAAUCUGGCUUCGGCCCGAGUUGUAAUUUGCAGAGGAAGCUUUAGGCGCGGCACCAUCUGAGUCCCCUGGAACGGGGCGCCACAGAGGGUGAGAGCCCCGUAUAGAUGGACGCCUAGCCUGUGUAAAGCUCCUUCGACGAGUCGAGUAGUUUGGGAAUGCUGCUCUAAAUGGGAGGUAAAUUUCUUCUAAAGCUAAAUACCGGCCAGAGACCGAUAGCGCACAAGUAGAGUGAUCGAAAGAUGAAAAGCACUUUGAAAAGAGGGUUAAAUAGCACGUGAAAUUGUUGAAAGGGAAGCGCUUGUGACCAGACUUGCGCCGGGCGGAUCAUCCGGUGUUCUCACCGGUGCACUCCGCCCGGCUCAGGCCAGCAUCGGUUCUCGUGGGGGGACAAAGGUCCCGGGAACGUAGCUCCUCCGGGAGUGUUAUAGCCCGGGGCGUAAUGCCCUCGCGGGGACCGAGGACCGCGCUUCGGCAAGGAUGCUGGCGUAAUGGUCAUCAGCGACCCGUCUUGAAACACGGACCAAGGAGUCAAGGUUUUGCGCGAGUGUUUGGGUGUAAAACCCGCACGCGUAAUGAAAGUGAACGUAGGUGAGAGCUUCGGCGCAUCAUCGACCGAUCCUGAUGUUUUCGGAUGGAUUUGAGUAGGAGCGUUAAGCCUUGGACCCGAAAGAUGGUGAACUAUGCUUGGAUAGGGUGAAGCCAGAGGAAACUCUGGUGGAGGCUCGCAGCGGUUCUGACGUGCAAAUCGAUCGUCAAAUCUGAGCAUGGGGGCGAAAGACUAAUCGAACCAUCUAGUAGCUGGUUACCGCCGAA
rnacentral:rRNA from 1 species